rnacentral:rRNA from 1 species
AUAUUACACUACUGACAAUGACCUGACCAUAGGUUUAUGUACAGGCAUAAAAACUUUUAUGCUUGAACACACAUUUGACAGAAAUCUGCAAAAAGAAAUGUUAAGCCUGAGGGAUUAACAAGAAGCGCAGGGCCUUUCGAUUAAUAAUAAAUACAGAAAGGAGGGAAACGCAAAAGUGCGUAAGGAUAAGGUUUCCCCAAAUCCACAUCCCGUGCGUGUGUGGAUAGGAGUCAAUUUCUUUCCUUCCUGUGCCUGCGUGGAAUGGAUUGGAAUCAAUUGAUUCCUUCCUGUACGUGUGUUCUGGCCAUGGUUACCGAUGAUGCCGCGUGCAGUGCGUUCCGCCUUGCGCCCCGUGGGCUGCCUCCGCCCGGGUUGCCGCGUGCCGGUCGAUGAUCACCGCCGCGUUGCCGCGACACAUCGCGUUUGCUCCCGUCCUGUGCCGGCCGGGGGCCAUCUCCAUCGCGCUGCAGGGAGUGGGCCGUGCUACAGCGCGCGCUCCGGCCGAUUGCCACCUGUGCCAUCGGCUUGGGAGCCGCGUCCGAGGGAGGGCUGCGCGCCGCGCCGUGGUCGUGCUCCGCCUGAGGGAGGAGCGCCGCAUCGGAUGCUGCUUCGGAGAGGUGGAGGACGCCGUCCUCGCCAAACGUCGAGAAGCAUGUCUAUUGAUUCCUGCCAUGGAAGGGUUGCGGUUGAUCGAAUCGGCAGCGACUGAAAUUCUCCUAUGCUGAAGCCGUGCGCGCUGGAUGGAGUCGACAUCGCGAGUACAGGGGCAGACGUUGGCGCCGCCGUGACUAAUGUCGCCAUCCGCGCCAAGACUCAAUGCUGCAGUCCGCCGCGCGAGAUAAGGCCGGCAGCGCUGGGAAUCGCGCGAGGCGUCGAGGAGGUCUGGCCUAAUCGCUCUGUUAGGGCAAGGUGCUGACAACGUGUAAAGAUGAAAAGAGAGAGCAGAGACGAAAAUCCAAAUCUGAGCCCGAGCUCAUCUGUACCUGCGCUCACUAAAAAAAUCAAAAUAAAUACUAAAAAAAUUAAAAAAAAUCCGAAAAAAAUUGGGGUGGUGGACAAUUUGAUGAGUGAGGUGCGCCCUAAUUUUCAAAACAUUUGGACUUAUGUGCAGCUCUCAGCAAAAAAGACAAAUCGGAGGUCUGUAAAAAUGUGUACUGUUCAUAUACUGUUUUGGUCUGAUUUGUCUUUUUGGCUGAGAGCUGCACAUAAGUCCAAAUGUUUUGAAAAUUGA